rnacentral:lncRNA from 1 species
AUGCGGACGGGGUUGAUGGGUAGGGGCAUGAUGUCGUUCAUGUCACCAGUCAUGCCGUGGUAGAGGCAGAUGGGGGCGUCGCAGAUGAUCGACUUGAGGCCGUCACAACACUCGGCGGGAGGCGCUAGCACGGUGAGGUUGGUCAGGUAGUCCAUGCACGGCAUCAUGCCGAUCAACGGCGUCAGGCACUCCGUCAGCUGAGCCGGCGGUGACGGUGGCGGCGGGGACGAAAGGUGGGGUGGGACGGUGCCGCCGGAUGAACUCAGCAACUGCGGCGGGGUGUUGUGGAACGUCGAGGGGUGGAGCAGUUGGUCUCCCCCGAUUCUCGCUUUGGACAGCUGCGCCGUCAUCACCACCAC